ensembl:ncRNA Y32F6B.5 ncRNA
AUAGAAUAACUGGUUUUUCGGAAAUGAGAUAAAUGGGUAAUUGAAUGAAAUUGGCAAAAGGAUUUAGAUAAGUGUCGUUGCGCUUGAUGUGACUUUAAUCGAAUUACUUGACGGAUUUAGCAGAUUAUUU